rnacentral:rRNA from 1 species
AUGAGAAAGCAGAAUAAGAAGACGUACCCGAGCAGGAUCCGAUCGUCCGGCGGCCAGACCACCCUACAAUCGUUCCUCGUCAAGCCCAGAGUCGCCGAUGGGGAACCAAAUCCCUACCCGCCGGUAGCGGAGGACGAUGAGAUUCCGAACUCCCCGCCGGCGCCGCCGAAGCGGGAGAUCGUCAGGGUCACCAACAAGACCAUCAGGGAGAAGGCGAGCGCGUUCUCGUCGGUGGGCUCCUCGGCGAAGCGCGGGGCCGACGCGGGCGCUCUGGACCCGGCGGUGUUCAAGCGGUUCAACGGCUCGUCGCCCCCAGCGGCGAGAGCCGGCGGUGGCGCCGCUGCUGCGGAGGCGGGGGGCGACGCGGACGACGGCGAUGGCGGCGUCCGGCUCGACGUCGAGGACAUCGCGGCGGGGGGCCGCCGCUGGGAGUCACGGAAGCGGAAGAGCCCCUUCGGAGGCAACGAGGGGCGCACGAGCAGCAACGCCGGGCACGUGGUGGUGCUCGGGGACAACCCGAAGCCGAGGCCGCCGGCGACGAGGAGGGGGAGGGGAAGGCUCGCUGGCCGCGGCGAGGGCAGCCGUGGCCUGUACAACCACUACGCGAGCGGGGGCGGUCUGUGGCAGGGCGAGCAGGAGGGCGUCGACGGCGAGGAGGUCGGGUGGACCGAGGACAUGUGGGAAGGCAUGGGCUCCAUCACGCUCGGCGGCAUGGAGUGGCACUAG